UACGAAGGGGGCGAGCGUUGUUCGGAAUUACUGGGCGUAAAGGGCGCGUAGGCGGCCGAUCAAGUCAGAUGUGAAAGUCCUGGGCUUAACCUGGGGACUGCAUUUGAUACUGAUUGGCUUGAAUGCAGGAGAGGAUAGCGGAAUUCCCAGUGUAGAGGUGAAAUUCGUAGAUAUCGGGAAGAACACCGGUGGCGAAGGCGGCUCUCUGGACCGAUACUGACGCUGAGGCGCGAAAGCGUGGGGAGCAAACAGG
rnacentral:rRNA from 1 species